CCAAGCACACAGAAGGCAGCGUGUGUUAGAUAAAUAUAAAAUGCCACAUUCUAUCUUUGUGGCUGAGCUCAGUUACUUCCUUGCUACGGGGGCCAAAUUUGUCCCGUAAGGUGGAAAUACUGAGACUAGCCACAUCCUUACUAAAUGGGUCCGGGCAGAUUGGUCUUUUUUGACAAUAAGGGAUGACGGAAGCGUGGUGUGUUCCAAGCCUGGUGUUACAUACCAGGGACUCAGCGAUGAGUAAUCCAGUGUCUCUUCCCCCGAGGAGCUCAGGGUGAGAGGGUGGUGGGUGGGAUGUGCAGAAAGAACUAAAAAAUCAACGAUCACUGUCCACUGUGACCUGCCACGCCAUCCUGAAAGACCCCUCCCCUAGAAGAUAAAUAGGAUAACUAACCUCUUGUUUGCUUUUCUGUGAACCGCUGGCUUUUAGCGUAAAUUAGGUUAUUAAUUGCUUAUUAAUUGCUCUUUUGCCCUUCUGUAACUGCUUGGCUUAUAGAAAUAAUAGAAGACGCCAUGAUGGCAUUCCUACCUUCCCCCUUCUUGUUCCCCCUCCCUGCCUCUCUCCUCCCAGGCGCGGGCCCUCAGAACCAAUCAGCUUGUUCCCCCUUCCCACCUCUCUCUUCACGCGCGCGGGUCCCCAAAGCCAAUCAGCAAACUCCACGUAUGCCUUUUUCAAAAGUUCUAACUGUCAACCAAUCAGUUGCGCCCCACCCAAAACUUGUUUGUACCUUCCUAUAAAAGACCCUGCUUCUCUCCGGUCUGUGUGCUUGGUUAGCUGGAGCUGCCGAACACCCGCCGGUACCUGCGUGACAAUAAACCUCUUGCUGUUUGCAUCCAGUGGCAGUGUUGGAUUCUUGGUAAUCUCUACACCCAGCUUGGGGCUCGAACUUAACAACCCCGAGAUCAAGAGUUGCACACUCCACCGACUGAGCCAGCCGGACAGCCCAACACCUGUGCUUUUCAUCUUCACAAUGGACUCAGGAUUCAGAAAGGCUUGUCUCCCCACCCCCACCCUCAUUCCCACCCUCACCCCCAACCCCCAACCCUACCUCCGGGGAAGCUCAGCAGGGUCACUUUGGAAAUAGUAGAUUUGGGACUUGAACUCGGAUCUGUGCAACAGCAUGACCAGUACUCUUUCCAAUACACCACUCUUGUAAUGGGCAUUGUUUGCUUACCCACAAUAUCCCUUUUCCUCUGAUAGUAGAAAUUUGAUUUCCCUCUGGGGACACAUCUCUCUUCCUUUCUCAAGUCUGUUUGUUUUAAUACAGCUGAUUCUAAAACUCAGCCCUGGGGAUGGGCAUGUAUCCUAUGCCUGGUCAGUCAAUGUCCCAUAUUUCCCACCGUCAAGGGAAUUGGCUCAGGGACUUUCCCUGUGAUCCGGACUAGGCCACUGAGACACGCUUCUGAGAUUUGAUGAAACCAUUGUGAAAGAGAAGUUCUUUCUCAUUAGAACUGUUAUCUGUAGAGAUACUUUAAGCCUCGAGAAGCCAGACCACAUGGAGGGUUUGGAGGGUUUGCCUCGAGUGGAUCCAGGAGGUGGAGAGAGUAACGGGCCCCGCGUGUCCCGGUCUGCCUGGGACGUCAGCACUGAGAGUCCCCCACCACGGGAAGCCCUCAGCCCUCAGCAAACUAAGACUGCAGGUCAUCUUAGUGGAGAAUGACACCAGGUUUUGGUAUAAUUUUUUAGUCUUAGGGAUUGAGCCAUGUCUGAGUACACCUGAGCACAUGGGGAUUUUUCUGCUGCAUUUCAACCAAUCCGUCUCCUUUUCUGCUGAAGCAGAUUGGGUAGUAAGUUUCUGGCGCUUUAACUGAGAGGAUCCUGAUGAAUACAUGGGACUACAUUCAAGGUUUGGAAUCUUCUCACAGAAUCCUAUAGGGUUUUAUGAGAAAACAAGGGAAGGCAAGACACAGAAGGUUACCAGAGAGGAGUUGAAAACUGUUGCUAUAAUCAAGUGUUGUAGGAACUCUAAGAUGAGAAAUGCCAGAGAGAAGAUUAGGUAUUAAUUGGAUUUUUAAAAAAUAUUUAUUUAUUUAUUUGACAGAGAGAGACUUCGAGAGAGGGAAC
ensembl:lincRNA